UACGGGGGGGGCAAGCGUUGUUCGGAAUUACUGGGCGUAAAGGGCUCGUAGGUGGCCAACUAAGUCAGACGUGAAAUCCCUCGGCUUAACCGGGGAACUGCGUCUGAUACUGGAUGGCUUGAGUUUGGGAGAGGGACGCGGAAUUCCAGGUGUAGCGGUGAAAUGCGUAGAUAUCUGGAGGAACACCGGUGGCGAAGGCGGCGUCCUGGACCAACACUGACACUGAGGCACGAAAGCCAGGGGAGCGAACGGG
rnacentral:rRNA from 1 species